rnacentral:lncRNA from 1 species
UUUCUCCAAACCCCCUCAACCAUCCGGACUUCUUCGACAAUGAACUUCUGCAUUCAUCCAUCGGGCCACCCCAAAGGCCCUCAAGGCCCCACUGUUAGCCGACCUUCUACAGCAACCGACUACCCUUGAACUUCUUUCGAACUUCAUCAGUAUCCGAGCUUCCCCAACAACGAGAUUUCUACAGUAACCAGACUCCUUCCAAGUUUCUACGAUGGUCGAAUGCCUUUCGAAUCCCUAUUGGGCUCCUGCG